CGCAGGCAGCGCUGUCCUGAGGCCUCCAUGGCGCCGCCCGCUCAGUGCUGAGGAAAACAAGCUCCGCCCCCAGGGAAGAUGCUGGCUGCUGACGCGGACUGCGCAUGCGCACCGCCACCUAAGACACGCUGGCUUCGCGCGCCCCCUGCAGGUCCUCGAGGUCGGUGCAGUAUACUCAGAACUCACUGUAGAACACAUGACCCCUCCCAGCCAGGAUGCUAAAUCACUGGAAAUCUCAGUGCCCUGGCCUCUUUGUUGGUGGCACUGGCGAUGCGCUCAUCCAGCCACGCCUGCUCUCUUGCCUGGCACAUGCCUCAGUCUUUGGAAUCCCGCCUGAAUCAGAUUCUGUUCUGGAGGAAGGACAGGUGCAGAAGAAUCUCAAAAUUCCAGACUUAGAAGAUGAUCAGGAACCCAAACUCAACUCUGUCAACUCCCUGGGGUCCCCUGAGGAGUGUAGUUUUCUCAGAACCAUCUGCCCUGUGUCAGGAGCAGACCAAGCCUCAGGUAGCUUAGAGAGGCUAUCAUGCAGCACAUGCUUUGGACGGUUCUCAGUUAUGACCUGCAUGAUCUUGAGACCCUUUUGUAACUCCUAACACUGUUUUCUCAUACCUAUAGUGAUGGUUAUUGACGACUGAGUUAAUCCUCUUAUAAUGCUGAGGUGCUAUUGUUCCUUGGAAAACAGAAUAUUUUGAAGGGAUCAACUGUUUAUCACUUCCCCCUAAUUAAGUAUGUUUUUAAAAUUAGAAAUGUUUCAGGGGGCACUCAGGUCCUCCUCUUGCACCAGUUCCUGGUGUUGGCAGUUUCUGCUCUGAGCUCCAGAUCCUGAUCCUGCCGGUGGUCUAUGGUGAUGCCAGUGUGUGCAUGCUCUUCCUUGUGCACCGGUGUGGAAAGGAGACAGCCCUUCCCCUACAUGAGGCUGCAACAUUCUGACACUCAAAGCAGGCACAAUGAAGAAUCAGCUAGAGUCCCCGGUACCAGCUGUCCCAGGUAGAAACAUCACCUUCACCACAGUGUUCCUGUGCUCCUAUCAGGCCUUCACUACUCCCAGCAGGCCAUGCAUGAGCAGUGUGACAGGUGACUGCCUGUCCCAGCACAGCAUGGUGGUGAUGAUCCCACCUUAUCUGUUUGUCUUUGGAGUGUCCCCACACCUCUCUGAGCUUCACUUUGCUCUUCUCACAGGCAGGGUUGUACAGGCAUGAACAUCACAGUGUUAUGAUAGGUAGUCAUGGUAGCUGCUCACCCAGUGGCAGGCUCUGCCGAGAAGGCUGCUGGGAGUGCUGUGUGUCUUCACACUUGUCCUUCACUCUCCCCAAUGAAAACACUCUUGGCCUUAUCCUUCCCUGGCCUGUGGCCUUUCUGUGUUUGCAAAAGAACAUGGAAACAAUCUGCAAAGAAGUUUUGAGGUUCUGUCCAUCUGGUCCAGGAAAUGCUGACUCUGCUAGAUGUGCUGUUGGGUGGGCUCUCAUGGGAGAGGCUUGGGCAGGACUUCCCUUGGCAAUAAGCUGCCCCACCCAGGCCUUUCCAUGAUCCAGAAUCCUGGGACCAGGGUGCAAAUCCCCAGCUCCCCACUUGUCAACAAUGUGACCUGGGCAACUUUCUCAAAUCCAAGCUUUGUCCACCCAAGGUCAUCAGAGAUGGGGGAUAACAGGAUGUCCUGCACAGAGUGUCUGUGCAGAUUAAGUGAGGUAGAACAGACAGAAGUGGUGGGGCCUGGCCCAUUGGUUGGCAGAAGGGAGCUCACCAUGUGCAGCAAUUUCCACGGGUCACCCAGCAAUCUGCCCAGAGGCUUAGCCACUCCAUCACUAUCAUGUGUCUGAAGUCCACUUAACCACAUGGGAGAGAAACAAACACAUAUUCUGAGUGUAGCUGCCACAGGGAAAAGUGUAUCUGAGCGGGGAGUAAUACCAGAGGGUGAUCAGGAUGGUGGAAGAUGCCCCCUUGGGUUGAGCAGAGUGGAGCUGCCCUCUGGAGCCUGGGGUUAGUGAGGAUGGGCUUGUAGAAAUGCCUCUCUCCUUUACCCAUCAAUGCUAGGUCCUGCGGGUACUGAGUCCCACAAUCGGUGUGCUGCUAGUGCCCUCAGCACAGAGAAAAACCCAGGGGUUCCCACAAGGCUUCGGCCACGUCCUCUGCUUCCUGAACUCCCAUUCUGGUGACCCCACCUGGGAUGCAGAGAUGAGGUGAGGCAGGGGCUUGUGCUGUCAACACCACUGCUCUACCCUGGGAAUCUGACACACAGUAGGUGCUCGGUAAGUCAUUGUUGAAUGAACAGCAAUACUGGGCCAAGUUUCUGUGGGUGUCUGUGCCCCCAGAUCAGGGACCCCUCAGGGCCCACCUCACAAGUGACAUGAAAAUAAUAAUGCCACCAGGAGCAAUAACAGUUCCUCAGAAUAAGUGGGCUUUUCCAAGCACUCUCCACCUGUUGCAAAGGCCUCCCAGCAGGGAAGUGGGCUGUCAGGGGCAACACUGCACUCUCCACUGUAACAAGGAGAAAGCCAAGGGCCACAGAGAGGAGUGCCUUUCCAGUGUCACUGCUCACUUUCCCACCUUUUGGGAGACUGGGAGGCUUUUCUACUACAUUCUGGCUCUGAAGCCCCAAUACUGUUUGGACAUGCCUCCCUCCCUGGAGCAGGGAACCACUAAGUGACCUGUCACUUGUCACCAAGCAGACAGGCUCAUUUCAGCUCAUUGUGCCACCUGCAGGUUGUACUAGUAGCAGGAUCCUCUGGGAGACAUCACACUCUCCCAACCUGAAAACAGGUGAACAGCUCACAGGUUUCCUGGAGAGGAUGGUCACAUGGCCUUGAUCUGGCCAAUCAGCAUUUUCCAUCCUCCCUGGCCACGGUGAUUGGCUCAGGGCUGGGCACCAGCCCUAUCAGGCUCCACGGAGGUCAGGCCUAGUUACUGGAAUCCUGGGAGCAGAGAAGUUCUAUUUCAGUUGGGAGUUGAGGGGUGAUGAUGUCAGCCUGUGGCAGUUGGUGACUAUCUUGCUCUCAUAAAGGCAGAGCCAUGUGAAGAUGACACCAGUGGCAGAGCCCAGAGGUGGGGAAGGAUGACUUCUGCUGAUGUCACUGAGCACCAGGUACAGCCCUGCCUGAAGCUAUCUCCCUGUGGAUGUCUCAGUUAGGCUGUCUGCUGCAUGAGAAUGGAGACCUGCCUGCUUCACUACCUGCUGUGCCCGGUAUCUGGAACCCGCCCAACACACAGUAGGACGUCAGCGAAUGUGUGACGGGUGUGUGAUCACAGUAGGCCACAGACAAAAGUUUUCCCAGCAGUGAUGAAACCCUGUGACAUAUCCUGUCCACAGCACCCUGCUCCUCCGAUCCUGACCCCAGGCUUUCCCAUGGGGUGUGACCCCGCAUGGGGUGCAGUCCCCUCCUCCAGUCUGAUGUCAGGAAUCUUGGACCAGUUCUUGGAGCAGAGAAUUGAGUGACUUUCUCAAGUUCACGUUGACACUCCAUAAGUUUCUGCCAGUAUCAGGGAGGUUCAAUUUGUCUCAUGAAUGUCUUUCGAGCCUGGUAUUCUCAACAGAAGUCUCCAUGCCAGUAUUCUCCAUUGUAGCAGAACAACUCUCAUCAAUGUGUUUGCAUCUCACCUCAAAUCGUGCAGCCAGCUUUUCUGCCAGCUUCCUUCAUGUCUCCUAUAAAGUCAAAUUCUAAAGGACAGGGCAAGUCUGAAAGUACCUCGGAGCCUCACCUGUAAGCUGAUGACAGGCAGAUCUUCCACUGUAUGCCCUUUCAGGUUCUGGAAACUGACCCGUGAACUCAGGCAAUUGCGCAGCACGAGUAUCUCGAACUUACACAGAUUCCCGAAAAAGAGACUUAAGCCAAGCUUCAUAGAGGGCGGUACCACCUCCAUGACACUGAUCCACCCACAGAAUUCUACCCAGUUACCUUGGAUCCACCAGCCACAACAAUCCUGGUGGAACACACCAAGAUUCCACCUGGAAUGCAACCGGUUAUCUGAGGCCUCAGCCUGUCUUUGGAAGUAACAGACC